rnacentral:ribozyme from 1 species
UGCCCAGCAACUCCUAUCCCUACCUCCACGUAGUACCGGCCGGAAACUAUGGACAAUCUUAGGGAAGAUCGGGUAACUAAACCCGGUUGGAACGGUAGUAGGCUGACAGGGAAGG